AUGGUGUGUUCAUCAUGUAACAGUACACACGCUACAGUUGUCCAGAGGACUAGAAUGGAAAUUCUCUCCUGCAUGUGUGUAUAUAUUGCACUAAAAACCACAAUUCAAGGAUCUAUAUCCUUAUAUAAAGAAAUCAAAAAUGUACAAAAUACAACUAAAUGUUCUUAUCAUAAAUUUUUUGAAAUCUGUAUCUUGCAUUUGUUCUAUCUCAUUAUCUUCAUAAUCUUGUAUUGGAGUGUCAUGUUUAUUUGGGAGCGUCAUGAUAUCUUCCUUGUUCUUAUUUCCUUAGUUUCUGUAUUUGUUGUUUGAUAUUGUGGAGAUAUUCUUUGGUUCCUCCUCCUCCUCCUUCUUUUUUUUUCACUGUGGUGGCUUUUCUCAUUAUACUAUGACCCUAGAUUAAGUGGAUUGUCUGCUUUUGGUGAAUCUCUAGAGGCUUGUGUUGGGUGUGGCCAGAGAGCUCUGUUCAGUUUUUCAUUGUUAAGGGUGUGCCAAAGGUGACACACCCAGGUUUGGCAUGGUAAAUCUUCUCUCUCUCUCUCUUUUUAUUCAGAAGGGAAGUAAUUCCUCUCCACUGAGCUCUUCUCCUGGAUGGCAAUCAGUGCCUGAGCACUAGCCACAGUGGGUAUAAUAUUUGUCUGCUCUGUCCCAAGGACCACAAAAAGGAUCUGUUCAGUCCUCAGUGUAAGCUCAGAUUCCCUUGCAAUGUCUCUCACCGCGUAGCCAAAGCUGCCCAAAUUUGUGGUGUCUGCCACCCAGACUACUCAGGUCUCAGCCACACUUUGAGUUCUCCCACAUGACCUCAGUUUUUUUUUUUUUUCUAUUCACAGUUCCAGUUCAUAAGCUCCACACUUUCACUAGGUUAUAGUCUCCUGUUAUUUCUCCCCAUCAGAGUCAGGUUUUUCUGCUUGGCUGAGGGCGGGCACAGCCCUGAGCUGGUGCAGUUGUUAUGUAUAUCCAAAAUGGCACCUGCUCUAUUGUCUUGCUUGCCUUUGUAAGGUGAGUGGAAAGAGAGAAUCGUUUCUGUACCAUCCCUUUUAUUUUUUUUCUCUCCUCUAGUUAGGCUGGUGAACUUUCCCCCAUGGGGCUUCAAGCCCUGUUCCCUCUAGGCACUUCCUGCCACUUUUCUGCUAGUGUCUAGGGCUACUGCAAUUUCGUUUCACCUCCCUUCCAGUGCUGGAGCAGAAACUCCCUCGGUAGCUUGGGUUCAGAGCCAUGGGCAUCCGUGCCCUGCAUGUUGGUCCACCAUGUCUCUCUCAUUCUGGAAGAGUUUCCUUUGCAGUUUUUUUUCCCUAACUCUUUGCUGAGUCUACAGUAUCUCCACUUUUAUUAAACUAUCUUUUCUUGGACUGUCAGUGAGCGCCCUCCCUAUUCCACCAUCUUGGAGCCCUCUCCUCCCCAUUAUAUGACUAGUGUUUAUUGAAGUGCACUUGGAGCAAUGUGUCAGGAGUCUGACCAAUGUGUUGCAAGGCCACCAGUGAGGAGUGAGGAAAAGGAUUGCAGUGUGCAUAUUAGGGGUCCCUGGUGAGAAAUACCAGAAUCCAAAAAGGAAUUGAAUCCUUUCAAAGUAAGGACACCAUAGCCAUUAAUUAAAAUAUUAUUUAUGACCAAUCUUAAAGACAGUAGGGAAAAUUUUAUUCAAAGAGAAACUACUGAGAUGGUUAUCACUGCUGUGGAAUCACACAGUGGAGGUUACAGAAGGAAUUCAAUCUGAAUAUGCAUGCACAAGUUGAACUGAAUAACCAAAGGACAGAGUAAGGUCUGUAUAUCCCAAAAAGAGUUGAAGGUCUUACAUUUUUUCUGUAAACGCAAGCAAGGUCCUAUUCUUCAAAAGGAACGAGAUAAAAUAUUACUUUUUAAAAAAUUCUAUUUGUUCUUGUGUAUAAUCUUUAUCUAAGAAUAGAAUGAUAUUUGCUAUUGUACAAUUUCCAAUCAUUCAGAAAAAUCCAUACCAGAGAGAAUAAAUCUACUCACAUUUCAAGAAGAAAUCA
rnacentral:lncRNA from 1 species